rnacentral:rRNA from 1 species
AUUGAACGCUGGCGACAGGCUUAACACAUGCAAGUCGAACGAGUGGCGGACGGGUGAGUAAUGCCUGGGAAUCUACCUUAUGGAGGGGGAUAACUACUGGAAACUGUAGCUAAUACCGCAUACCAUCGGAUGUGCCCAAGGGGGAUUAGGUAGUUGGUGGGGUAAAGGCUCACCAAGCCGACGAUCCCUAGCUGGUCUGAGAGGAUGACCAGCCAAACUGGAACUGAGACACGGCCAAGACUCCUACGGGAGGCAGCAGUGGGGAAUAUUGCACAAUGGGGGCAAGCCUGAUGCAGCCAUGCCGCGUGAAUGAAGAAGGCCUUCGGGUUGUAAAGUACUUUCAGUGGGGAGGCGUUAAAUACAGAAGAAGCACCGGAUAACUCCGUGCCAGCAGCCGCGGUAAUAC